CCCCGUACACAAAAAUGCACAUGCUGUGAGCUCGAUGAGUAGGGCGGGACACGUGGUAUCCUGUCUGAAUAUGGGGGGACCAUCCUCCAAGGCUAAAUACUCCUGACUGACCGAUAGUGAACCAGUACCGUGAGGGAAAGGCGAAAAGAACCCCGGCGAGGGGAGUGAAAAAGAACCUGAAACCGUGUACGUACAAGCAGUGGGAGCACGCUUAGGCGUGUGACUGCGUACCUUUUGUAUAAUGGGUCAGCGACUUAUAUUCUGUAGCAAGGUUAACCGAAUAGGGGAGCCGAAGGGAAACCGAGUCUUAACUGGGCGUUAAGUUGCAGGGUAUAGACCCGAAACCCGGUGAUCUAGCCAUGGGCAGGUUGAAGGUUGGGUAACACUAACUGGAGGACCGAACCGACUAAUGUUGAAAAAUUAGCGGAUGACUUGUGGCUGGGGGUGAAAGGCCAAUCAAACCGGGAGAUAGCUGGUUCUCCCCGAAAGCU
rnacentral:rRNA from 1 species